AAAAAAAGUGAAGAAACUGGAAGAUUUGAGACCAAAAAAGUGCAGCAGAAUCUCAUAACACAAGUGCAAAAAGAAGAUGAAGUUUCAGAACCUGAGUGAGCUCACAAAGUUUGUGACUGUAUUACAAAAGGCAUUUGUGAACAAAAACUCUGGUCAAAUUCUAAAGACAACAACUAAAACGAGUCACCAAAGUUCAUUUCUCUGUUAGGUCUAUGUAAUUAAUUUUUCACCUGCAGAAACACCUUAUCCAAGCAACAAACGCAUGAAUCUAUCAAUCCCAGGCUGUAACUUUUAACGUUUGGUGGUGGAGGAUCCAGCUGUCUCCAUUCUUUGUUUUCUCCUCCCUCUUGUAAAGAGUUGAGCAGAAACACGUGUGACAGUCCUCUCUUAUUGUCUGUCUGCUCUUCAUGAGGGCCUCUUCCUGCCCCUGAACCUCCUCUUCGACUGCACCACCAUCUGGAUCAUUGUUUCUACACUCGCUUUUGUCUUUCAGUUCUUGGUUUUAACAAUUCUUUUACAAAUGUGUCUGUUUUUGUCUCGUUAAAAAAAAG